UUAGGAAUUUUGGGCAAUGGGCGCAAGCCUGACCCAGCAACGCCGCGUGGGUGACGAAGGCCUUCGGGUUGUAAAGCCCUUUUUGAGGGGAAGAUAAUGACGGUACCCUCCGAAGAAGCACCGGCUAACUACGUGCCAGCAGCCGCGGUAAUACGUAGGGUGCGAGCGUUGCCCGGAUUUAUUGGGCGUAAAGGGCGCGCAGGCGGCCACGCACGUCCGUUGUGAAAUCGCUCGGCUCAACUGGGCGAGGUCAGCGGAUACGGCGUGGCUGGAGCAAGCUAGGGGGCAAUGGAAUUCCCGGUGUAGUGGUGGAAUGCGUAGAUAUCGGGAGGAACACCAGUGGCGAAGGCGGUUGCCUGGAGCUUUGCUGACGCUGAGGCGCGAAAGCGUGGGGAGCGAUCCGGAUUAGAUACCCGCGUAGUCC
rnacentral:rRNA from 1 species